GGCCUUAAUUUGUACUGAGGGUUGGACUCUUAUGAAUCCUGACAAGUUUCGAGCCAAUCUGACAAUGUACAAUCAAGUUACACCAACUUCCUGUUUCGAUGUCAAAACGCACAAAAUAACUGCCCCGCCAUGGC